AUAGCCGGGUCCUGCCUUCAUGUUACCAGCUAAACGUCUUCUAAUGAUCAGAACUCAAGGACGCCUACAGCAAGUGACACUUCAGCUGAGGGACUUGCAAACGUGUCCACAUGGAAAUGGACGCCGACUGGACUCAGAUGUGGACUGUUCUGCUUGAUCUGACUCCUCUGCAUCUGCUUGCCCUGCCUGCAUUUCAUCCUCAGAGCUCUCUGAAUCAUCUACCUCUGCUUCUGCCUCAAACACUGCAUCUUGACCUUCUUCAUCAGAGAACUCAAUAUCUGAGUUUCCUACAAUUCGCAGUAAAAUCCUCUCUGCCUCUGAGAAUG